GUGGUGAGGGGUCCGGGCCGGAUGGCGCGCCUUAGAGAGGAUGCUGUUCGUGCUGCUUUCCGUGCCGUGUUUUCUGAAAGCUUAAAUACAGACCAGAAGAGGAGUUUGGGGCUUGACACCUGACAUCUUAACACCAGUUCCUGUUUCUUGAGGAAGGAAGAGGUAAAAUAAAUCAGCAUUUACUGUGUCCUUCUCCAUCCCCGGAAGUCUUCAUGAAGACCCUCUCAGCUUCUACUUGAACGUGAAUAUGAGCAACUGAUCAUCUGUUCUGCAGUCAGCCCCUGGCCUGAUUCUGACUCAUGGUAUUGACCUUCUCCAUCAUCACCUUCCACAAAUUUGAUUCCUAUCUAUUCUGCCUGGAAUGGUUCACGAGUAUAGUCACCAUUUAUGUUCCUGACGAAAGCAGGUGAAGGCAUUCGUGGAGAGAGGCGAUUUCCAUGCGUGCAGCAAAGUGUGUGCUGAGAUGAUGAGUCGCUGGAGACCGGGGUGGACUCUUCAGACCCAGGAUAGGCCUCUGGCAGGCACUCUAUCAGGCACUCCAAGCUGUGAAGUGACUCAGGGAGAGAAGGAAGAGAUUUCAGAGAAUGAACACAUACAGAGAGAGAGGCAAGAGAUGCUGAGUGAGGAUGUCUUGCGUACUGAUAUCCUGAGGAAAGUGGGAAAAUUGGACCCUGGCCUGCUCUGCCAAUGCCGUGAAGCAGUCCGCACCAGGGGCUCCCUUGUGCCUGCGUAGCCUUUCCCAGGGUGUGCUCAAAUCCUGUGGCCACUAGGUGUCCUAGGUCACAAUGGAGGACCCU